CCCGGUGUAGCGGUGGAAUGCGUAGAUAUCGGGAGGAACACCAGUGGCGAAGGCGGUCUACUGGGCACCAACUGACGCUGAGGCUCGAAAGCAUGGGUAGCAAACAGGAUUAGAUACCCUGGUAGUCCAUGCCGUAAACGAUGAUUACUAGGUGUUGGGGGAUUGACCCCCUCAGUGCCGCAGUUAACACAAUAAGUAAUCCACCUGGGGAGUACGACCGCAAGGUUGAAACUCAAAGGAAUUGACGGGGGCCCGCACAAGCAGUGGAGUAUGUGGUUUAAUUCGAAGCAACGCGAAGAACCUUACCAGGUCUUGACAUCCGAUGCAUAGCACAGAGAUGUGUGAAAUCCUUCGGGACAUCGAGACAGGUGGUGCAUGGUUGUCGUCAGCUCGUGUCGUGAGAUGUUGGGUUAAGUCCCGCAACGAGCGCAACCCUUAUUGCCAGUUACUACGUUAAGAGGACUCUGGCGAGACUGCCGUUGACAAAACGGAGGAAGGUGGGGAUGACGUCAAAUCAUCAUGCCCUUUAUGACCUGGGCUACACACGUACUACAAUGGCGUUAAACAAAGAGAAGCAAGACCGCGAGGUGGAGCAAAACUCAAAAACAACGUCUCAGUUCAGAUUGCAGGCUGCAACUCGCCUGCAUGAAGUCGGAAUUGCUAGUAAUCGCGGAUCAGCAUGCCGCGGUGAAUACGUUCCCGGGCCUUGUACACACCGCCCGUCACACCAUGAGAGCCGGGGGGACCCGAAGUCGGUAGUCUAACCGCAAGGAGGACGCCGCCGAAGGUAAAACUGGUGAUUGGGGUGAAGUCGUAACAAGGUAGCCGUA
rnacentral:rRNA from 1 species